rnacentral:rRNA from 1 species
ACUCCUACGGGAGGCAGCAGUAGGGAAUCUUCCGCAAUGGACGAAAGUCUGACGGAGCAACGCCGCGUGAGUGACGAAGGUUUUCGGAUCGUAAAACUCUGUUGUGAGGGAAGAACAAGUGCCACGUAACUACUGGCACCUUGACGGUACCUCACCAGAAAGCCACGGCUAACUACGUGCCAGCAGCCGCGGUAAUACGUAGGUGGCAAGCGUUGUCCGGAAUUAUUGGGCGUAAAGCGCGCGCAGGCGGUCCUUUAAGUCUGAUGUGAAAGCCCACGGCUCAACCGUGGAGGGUCAUUGGAAACUGGAGGACUUGAGUGCAGAAGAGGAAAGUGGAAUUCCAUGUGUAGCGGUGAAAUGCGUAGAGAUGUGGAGGAACACCAGUGGCGAAGGCGACUUUCUGGUCUGUAACUGACGCUGAGGCGCGAAAGCGUGGGGAGCAAACAGGAUUAGAUACCCUGGUAGUCCACGCCGUAAACGAUGAGUGCUAAGUGUUAGGGGGUUUCCGCCCCUUAGUGCUGCAGCUAACGCAUUAAGCACUCCGCCUGGGGAGUACGGCCGCAAGGCUGAAACUCAAAGGAAUUGACGGGGGCCCGCACAAGCGGUGGAGCAUGUGGUUUAAUUYGAAGCAACGCGAAGAACCUUACCAGGUCUUGACAUCCACGCUGCCCGGUGUAGAGAUACGCCUUUUCCCUUCGGGGACAGCGGUGACAGGUGGUGCAUGGUUGUCGUCAGCUCGUGUCGUGAGAUGUUGGGUUAAGUCCCGCAACGAGCGCAACCCUUGAUCUUAGUUGCCAGCAUUCAGUUGGGCACUCUAAGGUGACUGCCGGUGACAAACCGGAGGAAGGUGGGGAUGACGUCAAAUCAUCAUGCCCCUUAUGACCUGGGCUACACACGUGCUACAAUGGACGGUACAAAGGGCUGCCAACCCGCAAGGGGGAGCCAAUCCCAGAAAACCGUUCUCAGUUCGGAUUGCAGGCUGCAACUCGCCUGCAUGAAGCCGGAAUCGCUAGUAAUCGUGGAUCAGCAUGCCACGGUGAAUACGUUCCCGGGCCUUGUACACACCGCCCGU